ensembl:lncRNA LINC00683 long intergenic non-protein coding RNA 683
AGGGGCGCUGACACCUCCCGUCUAACUGGUAGACAGUUUCUGCCUCUUCUUGUUUGGGGAUUGGAGAGGGAAGUGCGUCUGGAUGACUACUAAGAUGAGGAGGCUGAGGCCUAGUGCUCCUAGCGGGCUUGGUCAAGAGCAGGAGGCGGAGGUGGUGGAAGGCUGUUUCCCUGCGAGAAUACACUGCAUCGAACACAGAACAAAAAGACUCACUACAACGCUGCAGCCACAAUAGUGUGUGAUUUCAAGUCUUAAAAACCAGAAUCACUUUCUUCUCUGGACUGGAAGCAUAUUUAUUUUGGCCGAAUAACAGAGUACACCAGUCAUCAUAAGAAGAAAAAUUCACAUUUAAAGUUUGGAAAGCAACAGGACAAAGUUCAUAGGUUUCAGAAUAACGCAACUACGGUGCAAGUGGAACUUGAGAAUGAAUGAACAUUCAGGAUUGAGGAUGGAUGCGGUCAGUAACUGUUGUCACCCAUUGAGAGUAUCCUACAAAGAUGGUCUCAAAGUACUUUGAGAUGAACAGAAUGUUCUAUAAAUGGGUAUUGAAAAUAAUCAAGACAUUCAUGGAUCCAAACAGGCCACAGAAAUACCAUAGCAACAAAUGAACAAUAAUUGCUGCAUUAUGGGCUCUUUCCCCAGCUGCACUCAUGCAAUCAAAGCUCUGCUGCGUCUUCAGAGGAGCCCAGGUCAGAUCUGGCUGCCAUCACCCAUGAGGAAGACGUGCGGAGCCAGACAGGUGCCUGGAGGAAAGGUGGGUGUGUGCUGUCCUGCCCCAUCCUCUCUGUUUCCCUCCCACGUGUUUGCAGAGACGUCCUCAGCAUGGAACCAGGGCCCUUGACAGAGACAUUGUCAUUCUGGACACCCCACACCCAAGCCAGUUCAUCCAAGUCACCCGAUAAAAUUGUGCUCUGAAGAAACUGCCUGUUUCAGCAAACUCCUUACCUUACUGGACGCAUAGCGAUGGCCAGCACAGGAUGAGGCCAUGGGAGGAUCUUAAUGACACAGUCCACUCUGCAAACCAAGGUCAACAAGGCAGCAGGUAUGGCCACGGCCCCUCACCGUGGACUCUGUACGAGCCAAUACACUGUGUUCUAUUCCCCAGUUAUUUCUGAAUACGGCCACAGGGAGAUGUGAGCCAGCCCUCCUUCUCUAGGGCACACAGAGGCUAGAAAAGAUCCACAGGACCUGUUCAACUUGCCAGUGAUCCCAAACUCCUGACCCAGGCAGAUCACUAAGAGAGAGAGAGAAAUAUUCCCUUUUCUAGGAAGGUCCUCUGGCCUCACCCAGCUCCAUGAUGUGUCCACUAGCUCGAGACACCCCAGUUAUUGGGGGCAUCUUCUCCAACAGUAGGGAGGACUGCGGCGAGGGCAGCUGUGGAGAUGGUAGAAUCUUUCCUGUGGGAUUCUGGAAUGUUGUGUCCCCUCUGGAAGAGACACAAGGAGUGAGGGCGAGACUGGAAAGGGUGUGGAAGGGAGAACCUUCCUUAUUGCCUAGCGUCCCUCAGGGGCCAGUGACCAACCUUAUUAGCCACCUCUGUGCAUUCAACCACUUCCUCUCUCCUGAGGCAGCCCGAGCCUGAAUAUCUCAGCAAGGCAUUAAGAAAGGCUUUAAUAAUUGAUUUAAUUAAAGUCUAAAAAUUAUAGAACCA